GCCAAAAACUAGCCUGCACAACACACCAUAAAUCACUUCACACAAACUAAACCAUUUACCAAAUCCAGUAUAUGAGAUAGAACUUUAAACACAGCGCAAUAGCCCAAAUCGUACCACAAGGGAACCAUGAAAGACUAAUUAAUAACCACAAGCACAGCACAGCAGGGCUAAAGCCCCGUACCUCCUGCAUCAUGGUUUAGCCAGCAGCUCGCCGACAAAGUGCCCUGUGUCCGCCACCCCGAAGCCAGACGAGCUACCUAAGAGCAAUCACCAAGAAUC
rnacentral:rRNA from 1 species